UACGUAGGGUGCAGGCGUUAAUCGGAAUUACUGGGCGUAAAGCGUGCGCAGGCGGUCUAUUAAGACAGGUGUGAAAUCCCCGGGCUCAACCUGGGAACUGCAUUCGAAACUGGCAGGCUAGAGUCUUGUAGAGGGGGGUAGAAUUCCAGGUGUAGCGGUGAAAUGCGUAGAGAUCUGGAGGAAUACCGGUGGCGAAGGCGGCCCCCUGGACAAAGACUGACGCUCAGGCGCGAAAGCGUGGGGAGCAAACAGG
rnacentral:rRNA from 1 species